GCAUUCCUCUGCAGUGGAAAUCAUAACUAUAUCAAUUGAUUCUCUAUUUGGUUGUUGCAAAGAAAAUCCAUGAAAAAAAACAAUAAAUCAAAACUUCAAAUAUUUUAUAUGCCCAGCCAGAUGAACCCUGAGUCAACUGAGCCCUCCUCCAACUAGAGCCCAAGAAGCAAGGCGACAAGAACGAAAACCGUGGGAGGUAUUCCACUAUUUUCUCUCUCCCUUUCUUGGAAUGCAAACAGAGAA
rnacentral:misc_RNA from 1 species